UCCGGUGACUAUGGCUGAGAGGAUACACCUGUUCCCAUCUCGAACACAGAAGUUAAGCUCUCAUGCGCCGAUAAUACUUGGUGGGAAGCUGCCUGGGAAUGUAGGUCGUUGCCGGUU
rnacentral:rRNA from 2 species